rnacentral:rRNA from 1 species
UACGUAGGGUGCGAGCGUUGUCCGGAAUUAUUGGGCGUAAAGAGCUCGUAGGCGGUCUGUCGCGUCGAUCGUGAAAACUUGGGGCUUAACCCUGAGCUUGCGGUCGAUACGGGCAUGACUGGAGUUCGGCAGGGGAGACUGGAAUUCCUGGUGUAGCGGUGAAAUGCGCAGAUAUCAGGAGGAACACCUAUUGCGAAGGCAGCUCGCUGGGACGUAACUGACGCUGAGACGCGAAAAGCGUGGGGGAGCAAACAGG